AUGCCAUCAAGCACAUACAACAGUGUCCGUUCCCUGCCAUCACCAAUUCCACGUAUGUUCUUUAUGGACACUUCAAUCGAUACGAUUUCAAACGGCGCUCUUGAUUUCGGCGGCUUGUGUGGUUUUUGGACUAAUGCGGACUUGUUUUGGGAUGGCUAUGGUUGAUAUUGUUAGGAGCGGAAAUGGAACAUUUCACCCAGAUUUACAUAUGGAAUGGAGUGGAGAUGAGCAAGCAAAUAUUCAUACUUCUUUCUAUAUUGGAGCAUUUAUUGCCGUUUUUCCAUCGGAAUUUCUUGCCAAAAAACUAGGGCCCAAGAAUCUCUUGUCAUUUGCACUUUUGCUCAAUAUAUUUGGCUCCCUUCUCACCCCAUUUUCUGCAAUUUACCUCCGUUCCUACUUUCCAGUAGCUGCAAUUCGUUUGAUAAUGGGAUUUGGUUACGGCUUCGUAAUCCCCGCUGGAAGUGUGCUCAUCUCGUCUUGGUUCCCACUUUCCGAGAAAAGCACGGCCAUGGCAAUAUUCACAACGGGAAAUCAGAUUGGAAUCGCCGUUUCCAUGUUCCUAACGGCAAAGCUUUGUCAGCUUCAUUUUUUCGAAGGGUGGCCGCUGGUUUUUAUAGUUUACGGGCUCAUUGGAGCAGUUUUCUUGGUGAUUUGGCAUGUUAGGCUAGCGGAUAAGCCAAGGGAGUCGAAAUAUAUCACAGCGACAGAGUUGACCUACAUCAAAGGCGGGAAACAGAGAAGAAACCGAGCAGAGACUAUCGUUAGAGCAACUCCUUAUAUGAAGAUUAUCCUCAACGGUUGUGUCUGCGCCAUCUGUGCGUGUUCAUUUGCUCAAAGUUUCGUCCUUGUGGCUCUGGUGACCUAUCUUCCAAAGUAUAAUCAAAUCGCGUUCAAGAUGAAUUUGACGCAUAACGGAAUUUGGUCUUCUCUUCCAUUUUUCAUCCAAAUGAUCACCAAAUUGUUGUUCGCGAUUAUUGCAGACAAGGUUAAGCAGCGAAAAGUGAAUGCAACCGCAGUUACGAAGGUCUCAAAUGCUAUUGCCAGUUUUGCCAGCGCAAUCUUCAUUGUGAUCGCCGCCUACGGCCCGUUUGACAGUGCCGAACUCGUCCAGCUGAGCAUAAUUGUAUCGAUGGCGGCGUUCUCGGCAUAUGUUCCCGGAUACAACACAUCGAUUGUUACGGUGGCUCCGCAGUUCACCGCAUUCAUUUCGUCGUAUGCUCAGCUGUACGCACAAAUUGCAUCAACACUUGCACCGAUCGUUAUCGGACGGAUUACGAGUCAUGGCACAAUUUACGAGUGGAAGUGUGCAUUUUAUAGUUUGGCCGGAGUUUUGGCAGUGACGGGGCUCAUUUUCCAAAUUUUCGGGCAUGGAAGAACCGAGCCUUGGGGAGAGACACCGUCAAAUGCCACGUCAGCAAGACUCUCCACUUCGGUAACAAUGUGUGAGGAUGGAAUGUGCAAGCUGACCCUUUUGGAGAAACAUAAUCACGAAUUCCGAACAGAAUCAAAAAUCUCAUCCGGGUCAGGGAAUUUGAAAAAGAAGGUGUCACGAGUAUCGUAUGCCGGUGAGGAAAUUGUGAUACCCGGUCGGAUAGAGGAUCUCGAGAAUGACGUCAUUUAUAGUAUAGAAGAAGAACGUGAAGAUUAA
rnacentral:misc_RNA from 1 species